CACAUGCAAGUCGAGCGGUAGCACAGGGAGCUUGCUCCUGGGUGACGAGCGGCGGACGGGUGAGUAAUGUCUGGGAAACUGCCUGAUGGAGGGGGAUAACUACUGGAAACGGUAGCUAAUACCGCAUAACGUCUACGGACCAAAGUGGGGGACCUUCGGGCCUCAUGCCAUCAGAUGUGCCCAGAUGGGAUUAGCUAGUAGGUGGGGUAAUGGCUCACCUAGGCGACGAUCCCUAGCUGGUCUGAGAGGAUGACCAGCCACACUGGAACUGAGACACGGUCCAGACUCCUACGGGAGGCAGCAGUGGGGAAUAUUGCACAAUGGGCGCAAGCCUGAUGCAGCCAUGCCGCGUGUGUGAAGAAGGCCUUCGGGUUGUAAAGCACUUUCAGCGAGGAGGAAGGGUAGUGUGUUAAUAGCACAUUGCAUUGACGUUACUCGCAGAAGAAGCACCGGCUAACUCCGUGCCAGCAGCCGCGGUAAUACGGAGGGUGCAAGCGUUAAUCGGAAUUACUGGGCGUAAAGCGCACGCAGGCGGUUUGUUAAGUCAGAUGUGAAAUCCCCGCGCUUAACGUGGGAACUGCAUUUGAAACUGGCAAGCUAAAUCUUGUANAGGGGGGUNGAAUUNCANGUGUANCGGUGAAAUGCGUANAGAUCUGGAGAAUACCNGUGCNAANGCGGNCCCUGNCAAAGACUGACCUANGUGCAAANCGUGGGGAGCAACAGAU
rnacentral:rRNA from 1 species